AGCGAACGCUGGCGGCAGGCUUAACACAUGCAAGUCGAGCGGGCCCUUCGGGGUUAGCGGCGGACGGGUGAGUAACGCGUGGGAACGUGCCUUCUGGUUCGGAAUAACUCAGGGAAACUUGAGCUAAUACCGGAUACGCCCUUUUGGGGAAAGGUUUACUGCCGGAAGAUCGGCCCGCGUCUGAUUAGCUAGUUGGUGGGGUAACGGCCUACCAAGGCGACGAUCAGUAGCUGGUCUGAGAGGAUGAUCAGCCACACUGGGACUGAGACACGGCCCAGACUCCUACGGGAGGCAGCAGUGGGGAAUAUUGGACAAUGGGCGCAAGCCUGAUCCAGCCAUGCCGCGUGAGUGAUGAAGGCCUUAGGGUUGUAAAGCUCUUUUAUCCGGGACGAUAAUGACGGUACCGGAGGAAUAAGCCCCGGCUAACUUCGUG
rnacentral:rRNA from 1 species